GCCAAUAGCUCAGUCAGUAGAGCAUGAGACUCUUAAUCUCAGGGUUGUGGGUUCAAGCCCUGCAUUGGGCA